CAGUCGAACGGAGAUAUCAUUUUCGAAGCGAUUAGUUUACUAAGAGCGGAGAUGUUGCUAUCUUAGUGGCGGACGGGUGAGUAACGCGUGGGUAACCUGCCUUGCACUGGGGGAUAACACUUAGAAAUAGGUGCUAAUACCGCAUAACAGUAGGAGACGCAUGUCUUUUACUUGAAAACUCCGGUGGUGUAAGAUGGACCCGCGUCUGAUUAGCUUGUUGGCGGGGUAACGGCUCACCAAGGCAGCGAUCAGUAGCCGGCCUGAGAGGGUGGACGGCCACAUUGGGACUGAGACACGGCCCAAACUCCUACGGGAGGCAGCAGUGGGGAAUAUUGCACAAUGGGGGAAACCCUGAUGCAGCGACGCCGCGUGAGUGAAGAAGUAUCUCGGUACGUAAAGCUCUAUCAGCAGGGAAGAUAAUGACGGUACCUGACCAAGAAGCCCCGGCUAACUACGUGCCAGCAGCCGCGGUAAUACGUAGGGGGCAAGCGUUAUCCGGAUUUACUGGGUGUAAAGGGAGCGUAGACGGCAGCACAAGUCUGGAGUGAAAUCCCGGGGCUUAACCCCGGAACUGCUUUGGAAACUGUGCGGCUGGAGUGCAGGAGGGGUAAGCGGAAUUCCUAGUGUAGCGGUGAAAUGCGUAGAUAUUAGGAGGAACACCGGUGGCGAAGGCGGCUUACUGGACUGUAACUGACGUUGAGGCUCGAAAGCGUGGGGAGCAAACAGGA
rnacentral:rRNA from 1 species